GCGAGACCAGUUAAUGAUGGGAUUUCUUUCGGAUGACAGAUUAAACUAGAAAAGCGGCGGACGGGUGAGUAACGCGUGAGUAACCUGCCCCAUACACAGGGAUAGCCAUUGGAAACGAUGAUUAAUACCUGAUAAUACUAAAGUAUCACAUGUUACUUUAGUCAAAGAUUUAUCGGUAUGGGAUGGACUCGCGUCUGAUUAGCUAGUUGGUAAGGUAACGGCUUACCAAGGCGACGAUCAGUAGCCGACCUGAGAGGGUGAUCGGCCACACUGGAACUGAGACACGGUCCAGACUCCUACGGGAGGCAGCAGUGGGGAAUAUUGCACAAUGGGCGCAAGCCUGAUGCAGCAACGCCGCGUGAACGAAGAAGGCCUUCGGGUCGUAAAGUUCUUUUCUUAGGGAAGAAAAAUGACGGUACCUAAGGAAUAAGCACCGGCUAAAUACGUGCCAGCAGCCGCGGUAAUACGUAUGGUGCAAGCGUUAUCCGGAAUCACUGGGCGUAAAGGGUACGUAGGC
rnacentral:rRNA from 1 species